rnacentral:tRNA from 1 species
GGUUUCAUAGUGUAGUGGUUAGCACGUCUGCUUUACGUGCAGAAGGUCCUGGGUUUGCGCCCCGUGUGAAGCCA